rnacentral:rRNA from 1 species
GUGAGGAAUAUUGGUCAAUGGGCGAGAGCCUGAACCAGCCAAGUCGCGUGCGGGAAGACGGCCCUACGGGUUGUAAACCGCUUUAGCCGGGGAGUAACAAGCGGCACGCGUGCCGCCGUGAGAGUACCCGGAGAAUAAGCAUCGGCUAACUCCGUGCCAGCAGCCGCGGUAAUACGGAGGAUGCGAGCGUUAUCCGGAUUCAUUGGGUUUAAAGGGUGCGCAGGCGGCGCUCCAAGUCAGCGGUCAAAUUUCCGGGCUCAACCCGGUCCCGCCGUUGAAACUGGGGUGCUUGAGCAGGUGCGACGGAGGCGGAAUGCGUGGUGUAGCGGUGAAAUGCAUAGAUAUCACGCAGAACCCCGAUUGCGAAGGCAGCUUCCGAGCACCCGUCUGACGCUGAGGCACGAAAGCGUGGGUAUCGAACAGGAUUAGAAACCCUAGUAGUCC